AUUGAACGCUAGCGGGAUGCCUUACACAUGCAAGUCGAACGGAGUGGCGAACGGGUGAGUAAUGUAUCGGCAUGUGCCCAUUAGCGGGGGAUAACUACGCUAAAGCGUAGCUAAUACCGCAUACUAUUGGAACAGCCGGUAUCGGAUUAGCUAUUUGGGGGGGGAGCGGCUCACCAAGGCGACGAUCCGUAGCUGGUUUGAGAGGACGACCAGCCACACUGGGACUGAGACACGGCCCAGACUCCUCCGGGAGGCAGCAGUGGGGAAUUUUGGACAAUGGGGGAAACCCUGAUCCAGCCAUCCCGCGUGUGCGAUGAAGGCCUUCGGGUUGUAAAGCUCUUUUGGUAGGAAAGCGGUACCUGCAGAAUAAGCACCGGCUAACUACGUGCCAGCAGCCGCGGUAAUAC
rnacentral:rRNA from 1 species